UUUGAAUGACGAGUCGUGACAGAGGAUGACGUUUUGAGCGGCUUGCGCUCAACCCAUCUCCUGUUUCUGAACUGGAAACCACAUCAGAGCGGCUGUUUCUCAUCUAUUGUCGCCUCCCAUCAGCAGUGAGUAAAACCGGACUGAUUGACGAUAUGUAACGCAUCGAUGCAUCGCUUUGUUCGCUCGCAUGGCUUCACACUGCAUGACGCCUGCUUCCCCUCCUCGCCCCUACAGCUCCACCGUUAGUCACCCGCUUCCCUUUCGUCCUUUUCCCUCCUUUUUAGAGCUUCUUCCAUCAUCUCCCACGUACUUCCUCCGUCCUCUCAGGUUGCCCAAUUUCCCCCCAAAUUACAGCUGCUUCUAAAUAUACCCAGAAUAACAAAGCAGCCGUCAGCAAUAGGCCGUGCAACCUGAACCCACAGGUGUGUCCUUGCUGUGGUGAUGUCACACGUGGGCGGAGCUUCAGGUCAUCAGUGUGUAUAAGAGAGAAGAACCUCACAUAGAGAUGAUUAUUAUUUCUACUGCAGAGCUUCAGCACUGAUCCAUGGCUACUGUUGUUCCAUUUGCGUCCUGCUAUGCCAGCGUCCAGCCGCUGCAGCUGUUCGGUAAAGGAGCCAGAGGUGGACACUACCUGUCGCUGCUGACCAAUCGGGGCCCUCACUGCUCCCCGAGGCCCCGCCUCACCUGCCACGCCCCCAAGAUGACGCUGCGGCAGAUCUGUCGCAUGUUGAAGGUGAUGAAGCAGGUCAGGAAGAGGGAGGCUGCUGCUGCCGCCAGGAAGCAGACCUCCUCAGCAGCUCCGGCUCCGGCGUCUCCAGGAACCAAGUCGGAGAAGAAAUGCGUCCCGAGUUGUCUGCGGCACAAACGCAGCAUAAAACGAGUCGGCUGACCCUCGAGUCCUGGCCGGCCGCAGACCAAGCUUCACCCCAAAGCCCAGUUCAGACUCUCACAGCAGGAGACGGACAGCUCAGCUUCAGUCCUCCUAAAGUGGAGACGCUCAUUCAGAUCUUUAGUCCCAUCUGGACACUCGGCUCUGAGACGGAGGACGUUGGGGAGACGUUUGACCUGCGGUCCGUCAGGAGAGGAAGACUUUUUCCCAAACCCCUUUUCACUGUAGAAAGUGGAGAUUUUUUAGAGACAAGGAUCAUUUAAGCAACUCUUUUGAGUGUUUUUGUUGUUGUUUUAUUUAUUGGAGUGGAACUUUUUCAUUUAUGCAGGACUUCAAUCAGGCUACUUCAUCUUCUGGACUUUACUUCUCAAUGCAGCUUGUUUUUAAGAAAUUUUCAGACAGUUUGAUGAAUAAAUUUGUUUCCUAAUCGAUGAAAAACGACCACUCAAAGUACCACACUGAUAAAUUCUGGCUAAUGUGAUUGCAGUGAACAAAAAGUUGAACCUAUUAAAGUGGCAGCUGAUCCUUCUGUUCUUUGUCUGCAGUGUUGUCUUUUUUUGUGCGAUUAUUUCUUAAAUGUGCAAUAAAGUUUUAAGAAAUCACUGAUGAAACUUCACAUUACAGCGUGCAAAUUUGUGUUUGUUCUAAACUGAGACAUUUUAAAGGUUUGUCUCCUCUUUGUUCUGAUGACUCACAGCAUUAAAUCAGCUGUUUUUGCUGGGUUAAAGUUUGUAAAAAAUGAAUAAAUUU
ensembl:lncRNA